UUACGGCCAUAUCACGUUAAAACACCGGUUCUCGUACGAUCACCGAAGUUAAGCAACGUUUGCCUGGUCAGUACUUGAAUGGGUGACCGCUUGAGAAUAUUAGGUGCUGUAAG